rnacentral:lncRNA from 1 species
AUGCAAAUAGUACGACACUCUGAACAGACACUAAAAACAGUUCUCAUCUCAAAGAACCCAGCGCUGGUGGCACAGUACGAGAAGUUAGAUGCUGGGGAACGGCGUUUGAUGAACGAAGCCUUCCUGCCAAACAGUGAUCUCUUUGGACCCAUUACUUUGCAUUCGAAGUCAGAUUGGAUAAACUCCCACCCUGAGGCUCCCCAGGACUUUGAAGAGUUUUUCAAUGAUCCUUACAGAAAGACACCCUCUGCAGAGAAGCACAGUAUUUAUAUACAGUGCAUUGGAUCUCUUGGAAACACAAGGAGUGUCAGUGAAGAAUAUGUUAAAUGGCUCAAAGGCUACUGUGAAGCAUUUUUCUACGGCUUGACAGUGAAACUCCUAGAACCAGUUCCUGUCUCUGCCACCAAGUGUUCAUUUAGAAUCAACGAUGANNNNNNNNNNNNNNNNNNNNNNNNNNGGCAGAUCCUGAAGUUCUUAAAAAAGAGGAAACCUGAAGAUGCCUUUUGUGUUGUGGGAAUAACAAUGAUUGAUCUCUAUCCAAGAGACUCCUGGAAUUUCGUCUUCGGACAGGCCUCUUUGACAGAUGGUGUGGGGAUAUUCAGCUUUGCCAGGUAUGGCCGUGAUUUCUAUAGCUCCCACUAUGAAGGCAAGGUGAAGAAGCUGCGGAAGAAAUCCUCGAGUGACUAUUCAGUUUUUGACAACUAUUACAUUCCUGAAGUCACUAGUGUUUUGCUGCUUCGGUCCUGUAAGACUUUAACCCACGAGAUUGGGCACAUCUUCGGACUUCGGCACUGCCAGUGGCUUGCCUGCCUCAUGCAAGGUUCCAACCACUUGGAAGAAGCUGACCGGCGCCCCCUCAACCUUUGCCCUGUCUGUUUACGCAAGCUGCAGAGCGCUAUUGGCUUCAGCCUUAAAGAAAGAUACCGAGCGCUGGUGAGGUGGAUUGACGAUGAAUCCACCGACACACCUAGAGUUACUCCGAGACACAGUCGCGAGGAUAACGUGAACCUGCCCAAACCUGUGGAAGCCUUUAAGGAGUGGAAAGAGUGGCUAACCCAGUGCCUUGCUCUUCUCCACACAUAAGCACCCUCUCAUAGGAGUAAUUAAAAGAAAUAGCUGCACGUUACUCUUGCAUUUGGGCGGCGUAGUUCAUUGGAAUAAACUGUUGAGUCUGAUCCUGCGUGGUGUCAGAGUAACGGAAUGGAACUUUUUUUUUUUAAGCACCUGAACUUUGGGGUUCGCUAGUGGCACCGCAGCUUGGAGUGGCUGCUGUGGUGUGGGUUUGAUUCCUGGCCCAGAAACAUGCAUAUGCCACGGGCAAGGCCGAAAAAACCUCCACCUGAACAUUGAAAUGAAGUUCAUUUUGAAUGAUAAAAACUCAAAACUCCGAGUUCCCGUGGUGGCCCAGUGGUAAUGAAUCUGACUAGUAUCUGGGAGGACUCGGGUUCGAUCCCUGGCCUUUGCUCACUGGGUUAAGGAUUUGGUGUUGCUGUGAGCUGUGGUGUAGGUCACAGAUGUGGCUCGGAUCUGGCGUUGCUGUGGCUGUGGCGUAGGCCAGCAGCUGCAGCUCCAAUUUGACCCCUUGCCUGGGAACCUACAUAUGCCGAGGUGCAGCCCUGAAAAGCAAAACAAAAAACAAAACGAAACCCCUCAAAACUCUCUUCUUCGCGGCCUGGUCUGAGGCAACAAGCUCAUCGUUUCCAUUCUUCAAAUAUAUUUAUGUCUCAUGAGACAGUUAAGACCAGCAGUAACUCGUCAGUAAACCAGUCCUGCAAAAAUAGCUGUUUAUGUCCUAAGAAAGGAUUUCCAAGGAACAUAAUUUCCAGGGGAUGUUUUCUGGUUCAGUUUUUAGAAAGAGGUGGGACUCAGCCAAGUCACUUUGUCCAUUCCCAUCCCUUCUGCAUUUCUCUAGGCCUGUCCACCCUCUGGACUGCCUUCUCUCUCUCUUUAUUUUUUUCUUCCUUUGCUGAUUGUUAGCUUAUCCCUCUAAGAAACAGCAGCUCACUUUAGUUUUUUUUAUCAGCUUAACCUUUGAAUAUUUGCAAGUGAAAAUGAUAGUGGAACGACACACGCCUUUGGGGACAUGGCAGCUUUCUGCUUUUACAGACAUGUUCCUUGGUGGAGGGUCUUGCACAAAAUUUGUUGUCAUUGUUACCCAGUCCAAGCUUAUACCACUCAACAGCACGAUGGGCCAAUACUUCGAGAGAUGAGUGGUUGGGGCAAGGAACAGCAACUUUAUCCAGAAAGCCAGCAGGCUGAGAAGACGGUAGACCAGCAUCCCAAAGGACCAUCCUAUCCAAGUUGGAAUUCUGGCUUCUUUUACACUAAAAGGGGAGACGUUGUGGUUGGUUGGCGCCAUUCUUUGUUCUUACAGCUGUUCCACUCAGGUCAGGUCAUGAGGUUCCCGUAAAGGGCCCACGAGAUAAAUGUUCUUCUCUGUUCUGUAACUUUUUAUAUGACUGGUAAAGUGUUAUGCCUGUAAAGGUCAGAGCCAGGAGAAUGGGCUCUCCUGUAUAUUUCAGGCCACAGGCAACAUUCUUGCAGCAAAAGCAAUAGAAUACAAGGGUUAAAGUAAAAGAAACGCCCAUAUUUGUCCUUCAGUAUUACACAGUGGUCCUAUCUAUGAGAGUUGUGCUUUUCCUGUAGGUUUAUUAGGGUUCAUUCCAGGUGUUAGGUUUAUUUCUACAAAAUAUCUUCCUCACUCCUUUCCUUUAAGCCUUUACUUGAGAUGGAGAGAGCUGUGAUGGGGGUACCUGUGGGUGUGCUGAGAAUCCCCAGUCAGUCUGUGACUAUCACCCGGAUUUCCAUAGCUGGAACGGGUUGAAAACCUCAGACCCGAUGGGCUGCCUCUGCCGGGUCCGUGUGUGCUGGCGAUCUCAAAGAGCACCUUGUAUGGCUGCAUGCUGGGCAGACGGCACGUCCCACUUCCCAUUUCACCUUGAAGAUGAAACUAAAGGUAAAUUUUUCAAAACUUUGAUACCUAAAUUCUUUCACUUAUUAUUUAUGUAAUAUGAUUUAAAGCUCAUUUCAUUACGGAAUCACCAGUUUCCCUUACAUUCACUCUCUACAAAAUUAAACCUCCUUCAGUCAUUUAGAACAUGGUGAUUGGCCAUUAAAACUAAUCAGAGUGGACAGUUGGUCAUUCUAAUACUGAAAAGAGAACCCAGUGCUGUGUGGACUUUGAUGGAUUCUGUUGGGGUUUUAUUUCCUCCUUGGGUGAUGUGUUUUUAACUAUUCUCGAUUCUGUUCAGUUUUUUGUUUUCCUACUGGGUAAGCACAGCUUUAGUCCUAUAUGUCAGGAUGAGUGACAAACCUAAAAGAAUUCCGAUUUGGUUAAGUGUGUAAUUUGGGGUGACAAUUAUUUGGUCAAGAAAUAAGUCCAUUUGUACCUACCCUGCACUGAGACCAGGAAAAAAAAAAAAAAAGUCUAUUGCAACAAACCAUUCACUCCUGUUAAAAGUUGGACAAGCCUUAAGUUUUAGGUAACAGGCAUUUUUCUGCAGUCAUCACUUAAGCGGCGUGUAUAACUAAUUAUUGCCUUAGGAACAUUUCUUAGGGUUAAGGUCAAAAAUAUAAUUCGGUUACUACAAUAAAUCUUUGUACUUUU